rnacentral:rRNA from 1 species
UGGCGACCGGCGCACGGGUGAGUAACGCGUAUGCAACUUACCUAUCAGAGGGGGAUAGCCCGGCGAAGGUCGGAUUAAUACCCCAUGAAACAGGGGUCCCGCAUGGGAAUAUUUGUUAAAGAUUCAUCGCUGAUAGAUAGGCAUGCGUUCCAUUAGGCAGUUGGCGGGGUAACGGCCCACCAAACCGACGAUGGAUAGGGGUUCUGAGAGGAAGGUCCCCCACAUUGGUACUGAGACACGGACCAA